rnacentral:lncRNA from 1 species
CCGGGUUCUCAGCUGAGAGAGUAGGGGGAAAGGGAAUCAUGAGAGGUUUGAGGAGGCUUGAGAAGGUUUGCAGAGUGGGAUAGUUAGUUGCCUAGCAACGAUGAGAGCCCAGUUGAAAUUGUAUAGCACCAAUUUAUAAUGGACCAGUCAGAAGGAUUGAGUGAUUUUCUCCACUUUUAUUCAGAAACAGGUAUGUAGGAGCAAAGGGAGCUCAUGUUGGGAGGGAUCCAAAGCUGAGUGUUUAAUUCACAGGACAGAGGUAAGACUCAGACAAGAUAAUAUAUGUAAAUACUUUGCAAACCUUAAAGCUAUACACAGUGGUGGUGAUGGUGAUGGUGGUGAUGCUGGUAAUGGUGAUGCUGGUGGUGGUGCUGCUGGUGGUGGUGGUGCUGGUGGUGGUGGUGCUGGUGGUGGUGGUGGUGGUGCUGGUGAUGGUGUUGGUGGUGAUGCUGGUGAUGGCGCUGGUGCUGGUGCUGGUGAUGGUGCUGGUGAUGGUGGUGCUAGUGCUAGUGGUGAUUGUGAUAGUGGUGCUGGUGCUGGUGGUGGUGCUGGGGGUGCUAGGGCUGGUGGUGGUGCUGGUGGUGGUGGUGGCAGUAGUGUUUUUGAUGUUUUUCAGCCCGUGUCCUUCCCUUCCUAGCCCUUCCCCAAUCAUCAGAUUUGGAGGCAGGAGGACUCCAGAAAUCUCUCUGGAAGUCUCUGCAGGGGUCUCCCGGGGGGCGGGAUCCCCCCUAACAUUCAGAGAGCGUUCGGAGGGUUUCCAGUUCACCCUACGCCAUGCAGCGUUCCUAGGAGGUAAAUACCAGGGGUCCUCUUAUGCCCAAUUUACAGACACGGAAACUGAGAGGCAGGGCGGAGCUGACUGCACAGGGUCCGGCUUCAUCUUGGGGCUUGGCCGCAGACCCCCUGGGUCACCUCGGACAAGUGACUUUCUUCUCUGGGCCUCAGUUUCCUCAUCUGGACCUGAUGGCUCCAAGGUCCCCGCCUGCUCUAAAGUCCACGACGUCGGGAUUCUGAACCAGGGAUGGGGAGCGGGAGAGGGGCUGGCACCAGGAC